rnacentral:rRNA from 1 species
UACAGAGGGCUCAAGCGUUGUUCGGAUUCAUUGGGCGUAAAGGGGGUGUAGGUGGCGCGCUAAGUCGGGUGUGAAAUUUCGGAGCUUAACUCCGAAACUGCAUUCGAUACUGGCGUGCUUGAGGACUGGAGAGGAGACUGGAAUUCAUGGUGUAGCAGUGAAAUGCGUAGAGAUCAUGAGGAAGACCAGUGGCGAAGGCGGGUCUCUGGACAGUUCCUGACACUGAGACACGAAGGCCGGGGGAGCAAACGGG